AAAAAAAAAAAAAAAAAAAAAGAAACAAAAAACAAUGAAAUGAGAAAAGAGAGAAACACAUUAAACAAAUGCAUAUAAAGAAAGAAUCAAGAGGGAGAGAUCUAAUAAAAUGCAGGCAAAUAAUGGUUAAAACAACAACAACAUCAUCGUAGUGAAAGGUCAAGAAACAAGCUCAUUAAAUUUAAAAAGCAAACACGACGACAAAAGCGUAAAAAUGUAGUUCUAAGUAAAACUUUAAAGUAAACAUUAAAACAAAACAAAAAAGGCUCGCGCAGAGAAGCAGCUAAUUAAACUUAGAUGAAAAAAUGAUAGAGAAACUAAAAAAGAAGGAAAUAAACAAAACAAAACAAAAAGAAGUUAAGAUAAAGAAAUGAUCAGCGCUCAGCCGGGUGCAAAGUAAAAUGUAAAUUUCGCUUGUUGCUAUUUUUAAGUUUUAAAUCAAAGUCUUUUAAAGAACUUUAUUCAUUUCUCUUGUAAAACGAUAAAACGUGAAGCUAACUAUAUCUCCUCUCUUUGUAACUCUCCACAAAAAAGUAUAUAUAGAAAAAAAAAAAUAAAAAUGAUAACCCCUUUCGAAUCUCUGUGUAUUUUUUAAGGUAUUAUUUUUUGCAUCAAUGUGACGCUUGAAAGCAUUUUUUACAUGCAUAUGGAAAAGAAUUGUAUUUAAACACUAGAAAAAGCAGACAAAAAAAAAAUAAAGACAAAGAUAGAGAUGAUAAGCAAACGAUGCAAACAACUUUGCUAAAACUUUCAAAUUUAUAAUGCGUACUUUUUGUGCGCUAAAAACUUUAAUGCAAAAAAUCAUACAUUAAAACAAAAAUAAAUUGGAGCUAAGGAGAUAAAGUUUAAAUGAUAAAAAAAAGAAAACACAAAAAAAAAUAUUAAAUGAAAAAUUAAAAAAAAAAAAAAUUAGUUUAAGCAAAACAUUUUGCAGCUUUUGUGCUUAUUUCGCUUAAGAAAAGUAAGACUAGUUGAAAAAGAAAAAAAUUAAAUCUAAUUGUAAGUAAAGAAAAAAAUGAAAGAACGAGGUAACAUUGAGCGCAGGUGCAGCAUGCAGGUGCAGAAAAGCAUUAAACAGAAAAUAGCAAAAGAUUAAAAACAAAAACCAGAAGAACAUACAAAGUAAAAAUGUCUCUUUAAAAACACUAAAGAGCAAAUGCUGUCAUCCAAAAAAAAAAAAAAAAAAAAAAAAAAAAAAAAAAACACAAAAAAAAAGAAACUGAACUUUUUCUGAAUCAAUAAAAAACAAAUUGAUUUUCUGUAAGAAAACAAAUGCGAUUGAUGUUUUUACUUUAAAGCGGGGUUAUGUGCUGGAAUGGAAUGGCAUGGGCUUCUCCAGCUUGUUGAUGGAUCAAUAUCAUGAUUUGGGGGUUGCUGCUGAGACACCCUUAGCUAUUGAGGUCUGCAAAGUGUGGGCAAAUGGCCGCAGGCAACAAGUUUACACACAGCUCCAAGCCUUUCAGACUGGACCCGUAAUAUCUGCGGUGGUCGGAACUUCCCCUAAAAUACGCAACAGUGGGGGGCCACAAAAUAUGAAAAGCCUACGGCACAUCCGUACAUACGCACACACAUUUAUAUGCAUGUGUAUGUGUGCGUUUGUGUGUGUGUGUGUGUUUGUAUGCGCGCAAAGCCGUAAGGAUGAACCGAAAAAUGUUGACAGCAAUUCAGCCUACAAGUUUUGCUGCGAACCUGUUCGUUUGACUUGUUUGAUGGUUUUAUGAGCGUCAAAACUCGACAGCUUAAUAGACGUUUUUAUGACAGCAAUCACAUUUUCAUUGUUAUUGUAAUGAGAGACAGGGGUGACUGUAACAUGUAAGUCAGUGUAUGUGCAUGUGUGUGUGUGCCACAAGCCACAUGCCACCACACGCACAAUUCGCAAGGGAUGCUGCAAGAGCCGCCAGCAAAGCUCCCACUACCCUAUAAAGCCAGCGCACAACAGCUAGUCAUCCAUACACACACACACACUAAUUUGUUUGUAUAUAUGUAUACACACAUGCCUAGUCUGUAGGUAUGCAAGUUUGUAUUUUUACUUAUUCUGUUGAUACAAACGCAAAACUGGCUGCUGUGAGCCGUCAUCAGUGUUGCCAGUUUAGCCAAUUUCAGGCCAGAUCUAGCCUAUUUGAGAGUGGUCUAGCCUAUUGAUUGUCUCUCUGUCUAUCCCACAGUUCUUCUCUUUGUCUGUCUGCUAACAAACGCAAGAGACGUAAAAUCACUCAAAAUAACAGAAGAUCAUUACAGUUGUUUAUAUGUGUGCAGAAGUAUUCAUUUCGUAUUUAUAUUUGAGUAAAACGAAGUGCGAGCAGCAGAGAGUAAAACGAAGUACGAAUACUUGCAGCAGCAGAGAGUGUUCCCAUUGGUCGGGCCCAUCAUUUGAGCGCAACUAAGUGUCUGAAUCAAAGUUACCCUAUAUAAAGGGCAGCAGCUGCAGCAAUUCUUCAGUCGCCCAAGCCUGGUGGGGUCAGUCGUUCAGUGCAGUGAAUUUAAUUCAUUUUUUCCUAUAUUCAGAGCUUAACAGCUGGCAACACUGACCGGCAUGAACACCGGAACAAGCGCCAACAUCGAGACCGGCAUGCGUGUGCCUGUGUGAGUGUGUGAGAGCACCUCUUGCACUCACUCUCUCUGGCUGUGACAAAGCAAUGCAAACAACAAUAACUACAGCGUGCGCACACACACAGUCGCACGCACGCGUGUAUGCCUUGUUGUUUACUUGCUUACCGUUAUUUCGUUUGGGUCUCUCGCUUUUGUUGUGGCCGCUGCUGAGCGUUUCUGUUCGCCUGGUCAUUUGUUGUUUUUUGUAGUAGUUGUGUGUGACGACGAGACCGACGGCAGUGUUAGAGAAGGCAUUGCCAUCGUGCGACGUCAGUGCGAACGCAGCGGGACAGGCGGCUGGUUGUGUUACUUAGCUAUUCAUCAAUUUAUUUGAAUUUUGUGGUAAGCUAUAGAUGUUUAAAGCCAGCCGCGUUACUGAAGUCACAUAUUUACAUAGCAUCUGGCAGCUUUGAUUAGCGAUGUUCACGACCCAUAGAUGGCGCUACUUAAUUUUGAAGAAAAACAACCGAAUAAAAAUGUAUUUUAUGCA